rnacentral:rRNA from 1 species
UACCAGCACCCCAAGUGGUCGGGACGUUUUAUUGGGCCUAAAGCAUCCGUAGCCGGUUCUACAAGUCUUCCGUUAAAUCCAACUGCUUAACAGGUGGGCUGCGGAAGAUACUAUAGAGCUAGGAGGCGGGAGAGGCAAGCGGUACUCGAUGGGUAGGGGUAAAAUCCGUUGAUCCAUUGAAGACCACCAGUGGCGAAGGCGGCUUGCCAGAACGCGCUCGACGGUGAGGGAUGAAAGCUGGGGGAGCAAACCGGG